rnacentral:tmRNA from 1 species
GGGGCUGCACUGGUUUCGACGUGGGUUCGGACGCGCAGCAGGGCAUGUCGAGGUUCUGUCACCUCGUUAAACCGCAGAAAAAAAACUAACUGCAAACGACGAACGUUUCGCACUCGCCGCUUAAUUGCCGGUGAGCUUU